UCAGAGGGAUAAGAGAGAACGGAGAAUGGAGGGAAAGAAGUCGAGCAACGAUUUGCAGAGCAUAUUAGACGCCAUUAAAUCUUCAGAUGUUGUAGAGAGCCGUACCCAGCUGCUAUAUGAACUCGGAAAAUUAGAGAUAACAGAGAAAUCUGACUUGGUUUCCCUCAUCGAAUGCCUCACAACAUUUUGGGAAGACUACACUUGUCUGGAUGUAACUCAGUGCAUGCUAAACAAGGCCAUAAUACAUGUGGCUUUAAAACACCUGGAAUCUGGUAUAUCCUGUUGUCAAUGCCAAUUUCUUACCCUUGCGACGAAGGCAAGCAUAUGGUGCGGAAAGCACCUGAAGAUGACUCUUAUGUCCUCUGGGGAGUCUCAAGAAGAGGAGCAUAGCGAACUGUUUUUUCAGCUGCUAUUGGAUUUUCUGAGAUUCUCCACUGCUAGUUAUUCAGCUCUGGCAAGAAUCCCUGUUUCAGUUAACAAAACGUUGAAGGAUACUACUGAAAAGUUCAUUAUUGAACAGUUAAACUUAACCAAAGAGUUGAUAUCAGACAUCAAGAGAAUAAAUUCACAUGGAUCAGAAGUGUUAAAGAUUGCACAUAUGGUCAUAGAAGCUGUAAUAAGACUGUGUGGAGUGUAUGCUGAAGCUGUAACUUGGAAGUUCCCUGAUGAAAAGCUUGAGACAGAGAACAAUAGUAUGGAAUGUGAAGGGAUCAAUAAUAUGAAUCAUGUUAUCGAUAUAACAAAGUGUUCAAUUGAAAAAUUGCACGAGAUAGGCAUAAUUGCCGCUAAUAGUGGGGGAAGUUUAGUAAGUAUACUUAAUGUGUCAUGGAGAGGUGUGGUAAGUCUGCUACAGCUUGGUGAGGGGAUUUUAGCUACAAAGAUGAAUGUAGCAGAUAUCAUUUCAAGUCUAAUCUCAUUGGCUAAUGAAUAUCUGAAAUGUGUUGCCGAGGCUUGGUCUUCUUCGCUUAAGGAGUCUGUUUCUGCUGUUGAAGCUAGAAGGAAAUUUCUUCCACUGAAGUUUUACUUGAAUAAUGCACUAAAAAUUUCAGCUUUAUUUCCAUGUCAAGCAUGUACAGUGCACAGAGAGUUUACAUUCUGCAUCCUCAUGAUUUUGACCUUUAAAGUCUCUUUGAGCAAGGAAAAACUGCUGAAAGCUGCUGGUGAAGUUUUUUCAGAACUUUUGGAUAAAACAUCCUUUAGUCUACUUAAUUCAUUUCUGAGUUCAGAUCAAGUGGAGCAUAAAUUGAAAUUAGAGGUUGUAGAUAGCCUGUUUAGUAAUGAAAGCUUUGCAAAUUCUAUUCCUGGAGAUCUGAAUGAUCAUAAUAAGAUGCUUCCCAUGGAUCAAACUCUUUUUUCUCAAGUAUUUUCUGGGGUAAGAUCAAUGUUGCUUGGUCGGGUUGCGUUGUUUCUUAGUUUCUUGAGAUGUUCUGUGGAUCUUGAAGAAGAUAUAAAACUUGGGCUAGCCAGAAAGCUUGGAUGGUUUUUAGACUCUUUAAUUGACGAAGAGGUGUAUUCUUCAGUUCUCGUUUUGCAACUUCCUGUAUCGUGUGGUUCUGGGAAAAAUGAGGGACUAGUUUGGCAACCAAUGUUUUCUUCUCUUUUGGAUGCAUUAAAGUCAUUUUUGGUUGUGGUAUCUUCAAGUGUUGCAUGGAUGGAAGUGGAAUCAAUUCUUCUUGAGAACCUCUGCCAUCCUCAUUUCCUUUGCUGGGAAAUUGUAAUGGAGCUUUGGUGCUUUAUUCUACGUUAUGCUGAGUCAGGGAUGGUAAGUGGAAUGAUUAAUAAGAUUUGUUCAUUGAUGAAGUUACUGGCGUCUUCUCAAUCAGUUCUUGAUCCUGGUUAUGGAAUGAGAAAGUUGGCAAGAUCAAUCAGCAUGUUAAUCAGUUUUGGAGCACAAUCUUUGGUCGACCAGGUUUUCAAAUCCAUAAUUGGUGACAACAGAUCUCAACUGUCGUCAAUUAUGUGUUUAGCGUUGUUCAUGGAGGGCUUUCCGCUGAACUUACUAUCAGAGAAGAUGAAAAGUAAUGCAACUGAAAGAAUACUAGCUGAUUUCUUUGACUUCAUAGAAAGUUUUGAAGAAAAAUCAAUCACAGCUAGUAAUGAUGGUGUUUUGGGGGUUCCAGUAUUUGCUCUGUCUGCUUCAAUGCAGUCUCUCCAGAUCAACUUAUCUGAUACUGAAGGGAAGAUCCUGCAGUUCCUAGGUUCUUUAAUCAAUAACUACAGUGUUUGUGUGGAUAAACUACGGAAGGAGCAACACCGCAAGCUUUUGAGUGAAACAUUAGGGAUCAUCUCAAACACGAAGCACCUAUAUGCAUCUGACGGGAUGAACAAGCUCCUUCUCGAGCUUGAAAAUCUGUUUAUCUCAGGGCCAGCAGCCUCUGACAGAGACUUGUAUGAAUGCAAACCAACUCUCGCUCUUUUCAUGGCAGGUCUCGCACACAUGCCAAUGGCAGAAGCUGAUAAGGACAGUACCAAGAUCACUGCUGCUAGCCAAUUGUAUCAAAUGAUGUUAAAGGAAAGGCACUGGGCUCUGAUUCAUUUGGCAAUCACUGCAUUCGGGUACUUUUCAGCCCGCACUACAUGUAAUGAGCUCUGGAGAUUCGUGCCUGAAAAUGCAGCCCUUUCAUAUGAUUUAGAAUCUGGAAAAGAGGCAAAUGAGGAGAGAUUCAUGUCUGAAUUUAAGGUAUUUCUCGACAAGGGAACUGACAUUGACAUAACUGCAUCCGGGUCUGAACAGCUUGGACUGCUUUCAAAGGAGGGUCUGAUUUUGAAGGAAAUGUUCAGAAAGAUCUCAACUAUUAAACCAGAGACUGUUAUUGUAUGUGAAACUAUGCAGAUAGAUGAUGAAAAGCAGUCCAUGGAGGUUGAUGGAGAGAGGCAACACAGCAGAAAAAGGAAACUUCCUGAUGGAAUCAGCAAGGGAAUGGAACUGCUACAGAGUGGUUUGAAAGUUAUUUUUAAUGGUCUUUCUCAGUGGCACCAAAUUCAGCCUGAGUCGAGUGAACUUCAUGAUCAGUUCAUGACUCACUGUUCUCGUCUAGAAGAUGAGAUUUCUCGAUUAGCAGGUCUUGCUGGUGGAAACUAAGCUGGGAUGAUAUUUUAGCCCACUUGCUGAAAUCAUCAUUCCUUCCAAAAUUUCUUCCGUUGCUCGGAAACGACUAUGGUGCAUGGCUUGAUUGGGUCCUCCGAUGUUGAACCUCCGACGGAGAAAAGGAAACUGAACUAAGAUUUUAAGUAUAUUGAGAAAAAUUUAUUGGCAGGGUGUUCUGUCAUUAAACCCACAGUGGAGAAAGUAGCAUUUGUUGUUCUUGAGGCUAAAUUAUUUAGUUGUUGCCUGAAUCACUGUGCUAGUCAUAAAUUAUUGAUCUUUUUUUAAAUGACGAUUAAACGAAAGCGCGGUGUUGUGGCUACUAAUGACAAGGUGGCCAAGAAGGGUGUGGUUAAGAACGAAAAGGUUGCUGCUAAGAAGGACAAUGUGACU